rnacentral:rRNA from 1 species
AUUGAACGCUGGCGGCAGGCCUAACACAUGCAAGUCGAGCGAGCGGCGGACGGGUGAGUAAUGUCUGGGAAACUGCCUGUUGGAGGGGGAUAACUACUGGAAACGGUAGCUAAUACCGCAUACGCUCAGAUUUGCCCAUAGUGGCUUAGCUAGUAGGUGGGGUAAUGGCUCACCUAGGCGACGAUGCAUAGCUGGUCUGAGAGGAUGAUCAGCCACACUGGAACUGAGACACGGUCCAGACUCCUACGGGAGGCAGCAGUGGGGAAUAUUGCACAAUGGGCGAAAGCCUGAUGGAGCAACGCCGCGUGUGUGAAGAAGGCCUUCGGGUUGUAAAGCACUUUCAGUGAGGAGGCGGUACUCGCACAGGAAGCACCGGCUAACUCCGUGCCAGCAGCCGCGGUAAUUC